UCGCAGCCCCAUCGGCUUCUAGGUUUAGCUACGCAGGACGAAAACUCCUACUCUCUUGUCAGUUUGAGAGAAUCGACGACAAAGAGGAAAAGAAAAUGGGAGGGAAAUUGUUUGCUCUUCGCCAGGCCUUCAGUUUCCGAUCGAUUUACUCUUCUUCCUCAAUUCUCAGCACGCGACCCACAAUCUUCUCCCAAAUUUCAAGAACCUUAUGUUCCUCAUCAUCAGCUUCAUCGUAUACGAGACUGCCAUCUGUUGCGAGGCUUCCGUUUGUGGAUGCAUUCCUGGGAAAGAUGAAAAAUAAUAGAACUAUUUUAGCCAACAGGAAAAUUUAUUCACGUAGAUCUACCAUUUUGCCUGAGUUCGUGGAUCAAACCGUCCGGAUUUACAAUGGAAAAAAUUUUGUUCGAUGCAAGAUCACUGAAGGCAAAGUUGGUCAUAAGUUUGGUGAGUUUGCUUUGACUCGGAAAAGAAAAUUUUUGAGGAACAAGGCUGAACCUGCAAAAAAGAAGGGCAAGAAAUAAGCAUUUUCCACCCAAAAGCCCAUCUCAGUUUGAGGAGUGAUUCCGGAGAAAUAUGGGAAAGAAGGAAAGCAAUCAAAGGAGGAGGAAAAUGGAUUUAAGGUUUAUUUUCUCGUGUUAAUUGACUGUAAGAUUCUCUUUGGCCAAUUGUUGAGCUGCACUGUUAUGGAAAACUAUGUUUUUAAUUAUUUCUUGCAUACGGUAUACUGAUCAGAACUCGGAAGUAUAAUUUGAAAAU